rnacentral:rRNA from 1 species
ACGCUGACAGAAUGCUUAACACAUGCAAGUCGAUGGGGAAGUGGUGCUUGCACCAUGGUAACCAUGGCGGACGGGUGAGUAACGCGUAAGGAACUUGCCUGCGGGACUGGGAUAACAGCAGGAAACUGCUGAUAAUACCGGAUAAGGUCAUUAAGCUGCAUAGCUUAGUGAUGAAAGGAGACGCCUGCGGAGAGCCUUGCGUCCUAUUAGCUAGUUGGAGGGGUAACGGCCCACCAAGGCGAAGAUAGGUAGCCGGCCUGAGAGGGUGGACGGCCACAAGGGGACUGAGAUACGGCCCUUACUCCUACGGGAGGCAGCAGUGGGGAAUAUUGGACAAUGGGGGCAACCCUGAUCCAGCAAUUCUGUGUGCACGAAGACGGUUUUCGGAUUGUAAAGUGCUUUCAGCAGGGAAGAAGUAAGUGACGGUACCUGCAGAAGAAGCGACGGCUAAAUACGUGCCAGCAGCCGCGGUAAUACGUAUGUCGCGAGCGUUAUCCGGAAUUAUUGGGCAUAAAGGGCAUCUAGGCGGCCUUCCAAGUCAGGGGUGAAAACCUGCGGCUCAACCGCAGGCCUGCCUUUGAAACUGAUAGGCUGGAGUACCGGAGAGGUGGACGGAACUGCACGAGUAGAGGUGAAAUUCGUAGAUAUGUGCAGGAAUGCCGAUGAUGAAGAUAGUUCACUGGACGGUAACUGACGCUGAAGUGCGAAAGCCGGGGGAGCGAACAGGAUUAGAUACCCUGGUAGUCCCGGCCGUAAACGAUGAUUACUGGGUGUGGGCAGGAAGACUGUCUGUGCCGAAGCGAAUGCGAUAAGUAAUCCGCCUGGGGAGUACGGCCGCAAGGCUGAAACUCAAAGGAAUUGACGGGGACCCGCACAAGCGGUGGAGCAUGUGGUUUAAUUCGACGCAACGCGAGGAA